rnacentral:snRNA from 1 species
GGGAAAGUGGUUUUCCCAGGGCGAGGCUCACCCUUUGCACUCCGGGUGUGCUGACCCCCGCGAUUUCCCCAAAUGUGGGAAAUUUG